rnacentral:tRNA from 1 species
UGGCUCAGUGGUAGAGUGCUUGCCUCACAUGCAUGAGGCCUUAGGUUCCAUUCCUCA